rnacentral:lncRNA from 1 species
CCCAGGCAGCGCCCAAAGCCUGUGUCCCUCCGCUGCAGUGAAACGGAAAAGAAAACGGGGCUGCGGUAAUGCCUGGAGCCAAACUUUCAGGGAGACGCCCAGCUCCCGACACCUACCCUCUUAAAGUGCGGUUGGAUUGAAUGAGGCUAAAGGAAGUAACAGGAACCCCGGCCUGGAGGAGGGAACACGUGCUACGGGCCUCAGAGGGUGGCAGAGGAGGUCUGCAGGCGCGAGAACCUCGGACAGAGCUGAGGCAUAGAGCCCAGGGACGCAUCCUUCCGCACCUCGCAUUCAGUGAGGUCACCUUGGUGACUUGAAAUCGGACACGGUGGAAGUAUUUACACCAUGGACUUCAGCAAAUGCAGCCGGGCCCUCCCCUUUUCCAGGAGAGCCAGGUUUAAGACAUUUGCCAGCACACCACACUGCCCAGCCACCAGUCUCAGCUCCAGAGCUGUGGGUUAUCGGCAAAGGAUGUGAUCUCAUCGAACCUCAGUUUCUGUAUCUAUAAAGCAGGAAUCUAUCACUUAUGAAAUAUCCUGUGCAGGCACAAUCCUAGGUGUGGAGGAUACAAUACAACAUAAGUAAGGUAAAAGUAUCCAUCUGUGUGGAGCUUGUAUUUUGGCUGGAGAGACAGAAAAUAAACAAGGGAACUAUAAUGAUAGGUCAUGUUAUAAUACAUGAAUGAUGACACAGCCAGGUGAAAAGGCAAUGAUGGUCAUUAAGUUCAAGAUGGGGGAGGGGAUGGGGUGAGGGUUGGCCUGUCUGAGGAGGGGCAUUUGGAGUGCUGGAGCAAGCCAUAGAGGACAGGAAUUACUCCAGUCAGAGGAAACAGCAAGGACAAGGGCCCCAAGAUGGCAGGUGCUAGAGACUCCAUGCAUAGAAAAAGCCAGCCAUCCCCAGUGCUGUAACUGAGUGGCCAGUGGUGGGAGAUGAGGUCACAGACAUGGAGGGGGCAUACAUGGGGUGAGCAUUUCAGUCUCAAAGCCCCAGGGGGUUUUGCAGAACAAAGUGAU